UCGAGUUAGGGUCUUCUAGGCCCGAUCUCCAACCCUUUGUAUAACUACCAUGUUGCUUUGGCGAGCCCGUCUUUAACCGGACCGCCGGAGGUGUUACAGCCUCUGGCCCGUGCUCGUCAGUAGCCCACACUUAAAUUCUUUUUAACCAUGUUAAAUCUGAAACUAGUUAAAUAAACUA
rnacentral:misc_RNA from 1 species